CCUACGGGGUGCUGCAGUGAGGAAUAUUGGUCAAUGGACGAGAGUCUGAACCAGCCAAGUAGCGUGAAGGAUGACUGCCCUAUGGGUUGUAAACUUCUUUUAUAAAGGAAUAAAACGAGGCACGUGUGCCUUUUUGCAUGUACUUUAUGAAUAAGGAUCGGCUAACUCCGUGCCAGCAGCCGCGGUAAUACGGAGGAUCCGAGCGUUAUCCGGAUUUAUUGGGUUUAAAGGGAGCGUAGAUGGGUUGUUAAGUCAGUUGUGAAAGUUUGCGGCUCAACCGUAAAAUUGCAAUUGAUACUGGCAGUCGUGAGUACAGUUGAGGUAGGCGGAAUUCGUGGUGUAGCGGUGAAAUGCUGAGAUAUCACGAAGAACCCCGAUUGCGAAGGCAGCUUACUAAACUGUGACUGACAUUGAUGCUCGAAAGUGUGGGUAUCAAACAGGAUUAGAUACCCCUGUAGUC
rnacentral:rRNA from 1 species